CUGUGUCCUUCAACGCCGGUUCACCGCCUGUCGGUGCCAACUGGCGUUUUGCGGGACGUCCUGUCGGUAGCGGCCAGGGAUCUUAGUUGUGUCCGGGGUCCUCCUGUGACCAGCUCUGGUUCUGGGUCGCUUUUAUAAUCCCGCCGCGGUGCUCUUUACCGAGUGUCGAGGCGGGCCGGCACGUUUACUUUGAACAAAUUAGAGUGCUUCAAGCAGGCUCUUUAUGCCUGGAUACUGUGUGCAUGGAAUAAUGGAAUAGGGCCUCGGUUCUAUUUUGUUGGUUUCCGGAAUCUGAGGUAAUGAUCAAUGGGGACAGGCGGGGGCAUUCGUAUUGCGACGUUAGAGGUGAAAUUCUUGGAUCGUCGCAAGACGGACCGAAGCGAAAGCAUUUGCCAAGUAUGUUCCCGUCGAUCAAGAACGAAAGUUAGAGGUUCGAAGGCGAUCAGAUACCGCCCUAGUUCUAACCAUAAACAAUGCCUGCCAGCGAUCCGCCGGCGUCCCUCCGAUGACCCGGCGGGCAGCUUCCGGGAAACCAAAGCUUUUGGGUUCCGGGGGAAGUAUGGUUGCAAAGCUGAAACUUAAAGGAAUUGACGGAAGGGCACCACCAGGAGUGGAGCCUGCGGCUUAAUUUGACUCAACACGGGAAAACUCACCAGGCCCGGACACUGGAAGGAUUGACAGAUUGAUAGCUCUUUCUUGAUUCGGUGGGUGGUGGUGCAUGGCCGUUCUUAGUUGGUGGAGCGAUUUGUCUGGUUAAUUCCGAUAACGAACGAGACUCUAGCCUACUAACUAGACGUUCUGGUAUUAGCAUUCGUGCUACCAGCGAUUAUAUCUCUUCUUAGAGGGACAGGCGGCUUCUAGCCGCACGAGACUGAGCAAUAACAGGUCUGUGAUGCCCUUAGAUGUCCUGGGCCGCACGCGCGCUACACUGAAGGAAUCAGCGUGUUCUCCCUGUCCGAAAGGACCGGGUAACCCGUUGAACCUCCUUCGUGCUUGGGAUUGGGGCUUGCAAUUGUUCCCCAUGAACGAGGAAUUCCCAGUAAGCGCGAGUCAUAAGCUCGUGUUGAUUACGUCCCUGCCCUUUGUACACACCGCCCGUCGCUACUACCGAUUGAAUGAUUUAGUGAGGUCUUCGGACCGGUGCGCGGAGGCGGUUUACCGCUUCCGAUGUUGUCGGAAAGAUGACCAAACUUGAUCAUU
rnacentral:rRNA from 1 species